ACGGAAGGCAGCAGUGGGGAAUAUUGCACAAUGGGGGAAACCCUGAUGCAGCGACGCCGCGUGAGUGAAGAAGUUAUUCGUAAUGUAGAGCUCUAUCAGCAGGGAAGAAAAUGACGGUACCUGACUAAGAAGCCCCGGCUAACUACGUGCCAGCAGCCGCGGUAAUACGUAGGGGGCAAGCGUUAUCCGGAUUUACUGGGUGUAAAGGGAGCGUAGACGGCUUAGCAAGUCUGAUGUGAAAGGCAGGGGCUCAACUCCUGGACUGCAUUGGAAACUGUUAAGCUAGAGUGCCGGAGAGGUAAGCGGAAUUCCUAGUGUAGCGGUGAAAUGCGUAGAUAUUAGGAGGAACACCAGUGGCGAAGGCGGCUUACUGGACGGUAACUGACGUUGAGGCUCGAAAGCGUGGGGAGCAAACAGGAUUAGAUACCCUGGUA
rnacentral:rRNA from 1 species